rnacentral:rRNA from 1 species
AUUUAUCGGAGAGUUUGAUCCUGGCUCAGGACGAACGCUGGCGGCGUGCCUAAUACAUGCAAGUCGAGCGGACAGAUGGGAGCUUGCUCCCUGAUGUUAGCGGCGGACGGGUGAGUAACACGU